UGAAAUUACAGAUUGCUUCUUUAUGGUGAGAUGGAUAGAUUUGAUGACACAACUGUGUCACUCUUAAAAGGUUUUGGACGAGAUGGGCCGAAUUCUAGAGGCAGGCAACAAGAACUUCACUGACCAGAUCAGCCAGAUGGGAAAGCUUUUGCAAAAAUGCGCUGUUCUUUGGAGUGUGGAACAAGUCGUUGAAGCCACCAAUGGGUCUGGAUAAAUCUGGACCAGCCAUAGCUUUGAUGAAGGCACUUCCCUCAAUGUUUCCUUCCCCAACUGCCCCACCCAAUCUUGGGUCA